rnacentral:rRNA from 7 species
CCUGGCGGCACUAGCGCGGUGGUCCCACCUGACCCCAUGCCGAACUCAGAAGUGAAACGCCGUAGCGCCGAUGGUAGUGUGGGGUCUCCCCAUGCGAGAGUAGGAAACUGCCAGGC